GUGCUUGCUUUGGCAGCACAUAUACUAAGGUUGGGGAGAUACAGAGAAGAUUAGCAUGUCCCCUGUGCAAGGAUGACACUCGGGUUCGUGAAGCGUUCCAUAUUUUU
ensembl:snRNA U6 U6 spliceosomal RNA